AUUAAAGGGUGGGCUGGAUUAAUUAGAGGGUGUGAAUUAAUUAAAGGGGUGGUGAAUUAAUUAAAGGGUGGGCUGGAUUAAUUAGAGGGGGUGAAUUAAAGGGGGGGUGAAUUAAUUAAAGGGUGGGCUGGAUUAAUUAGAGGGGGUGAAUUAAUUAAAGGGGGUGAAUUAAUUAAAGGGUGGGCUGGAUUAAUUAGAGGGGGUGAAUUAAUUAAAGGGUGGGCUGGAUUAAUUUGAGGGGGGUGGAUUAAUUAAAGGGUGGGCUGGAUUAAUUAGAGGGGGGUGGAUUAAUUAGAGGGGGUGGAUUUAUUAAAGGGGGGGUGGAUUAAUUAGACAGUAUGGUAUUUUGAUCCCCAGACAAG